rnacentral:tRNA from 1 species
CAUUAGUUCAAUGGUAGAACGUCAGCUUCCCAAGCUGAAUACGCGAGUUCGAUUCUCGUAUGG